AACGCGAAGAACCUUACCUACCUUUGAAUCCACGGAAUCCUGCAGAGAUGUGGGAGUGCCUUCGGGAACCGUGAGACAGGUGCUGCAUGGCUGUCGUCAGCUCGUGUCGUGAGAUGUUGGGUUAAGUCCCGUAACGAGCGCAACCCUUGUCCUUAGUUACCAUCGAGUAAAGUCGGGGACUUUAAGGAGACUGCCGGUGAUAAACCGGAGGAAGGUGGGGAUGACGUCAAGUCCUCAUGGCCCUUACAGGUAGGGCUACACACGUGCUACAAUGGCCGGUACAGAGGGUCGCCAACCCGCGAGGGGGAGCUAAUCUCAAAAAGCCGGUCGUAGUCCGGAUUGGAGUCUGCAACUCGACUCCAUGAAGCUGGAAUCGCUAGUAAUCGCGGAUCAGCACGUCGCGGUGAAUACGUUCCCGGGCCUUGUACACACCGACGCAC
rnacentral:rRNA from 1 species